rnacentral:rRNA from 1 species
GUUUGAUCCUGGCUCAGGAUGAACGCUAGCGGCGGGCCUAAUACAUGCAAGUCGAACGGGGCCGCUUCUUCGGGGGCGGCCGAGUGGCGCACGGGUGCGUAACGCGUAGCCAACCUGCCCGGGACAGGGGGAUAGCCCGCCGAAAGGCGGAUUAAUCCCGCAUGCCCCCGGGGCCCGGCAUCGGGCCGCGGGGAAAGAACUUCGGUUCCGGAUGGGGCUGCGUGCCAUUAGCUGGUUGGCGGGGUAACGGCCCACCAAGGCGACGAUGGCUAGGGGAGCUGAGAGGCCGGUCCCCCACACUGGCACUGAGACACGGGCCAGACUCCUACGGGAGGCAGCAGUAGGGAAUAUUGGGCAAUGGGCGCGAGCCUGACCCAGCCACGCCGCGUGCCGGAAGACGGCCUUCUGGGUUGUAAACGGCUUUUUUCGGGGAAGAAACGGGUCCUGCGGGGCACACUGACGGUACCCGAAGAAGAAGCACCGGCUAACUCCGUGCCGGCAGCCGCGGUAAUACGGAGGGUGCGAGCGUUGUCCGGAUUUAUUGGGUUUAAAGGGUGCGUAGGCGGCCGGCUAAGUCCGGGGUGAAAGCCCGCUGCUCAACAGCGGAGGUGCCCCGGAUACUGGCCGGCUUGAGUCCAGGCGAGGCCGGCGGAAUGGGGGCUGUAGCGGUGAAAUGCAUAGAUAGCCUCCAGAACCCCGAUUGCGAAGGCAGCUGGCUAGGCUGGUACUGACGCUGAGGCACGAAAGCGUGGGGAGCGAACAGGAUUAGAUACCCUGGUAGUCCACGCCGUGAACGAUGGCACUCGCCGGCGGCCGAUGGCGGCCGCCGGCUCAGCGAAA